AUAGUGUUUUGGCUACUAAUUUCUGAUGCAUUGUUUACAUCGGCGAAGCGGUGUGUUCUCGGGUAUAAAUAUAUUAGUGGCAAAGCCUGUUCUCCCUUUAAGCAUGUAGUCUUUGUUUACUUCUAUUCUCUAUUAAUGGGUUCUUGCCUCAGAUUUCGUGUUGAGCAUAAGAGCAGCAGCCUUUACGACCUUCAUCUUACGAGUGUUCAAUCAUCAUCAUCGGCAUCUCAUAAAAGAAAGAAGAUAUACUUAGCAAAGCGAUCUUCAAGAGCUUUCAACGAACUCAGACUUGCAACCAGAAACUUCAGAUCAAACUCUGUUAUACUAGAAGGCGAUUUCAGUUCUGCUCUAGAGGUUCGAUCGAUGAGACUACUCUAACUCCAACUAGAUCCAUCACAGGUAUUGCAGUUCCUGUCCAAGGGUCUUAACCCUGAUGGAUUUCAAGAUCACCGAGAAUGUCUGGUACAGACAACAAGGACUAUUGUCACUCCAAUCUCAAGUUUCCAUGGUUUGAUUCUCUGACCUGUUUGUGACAUUUGUUAGCGAUAAACUACUUGGUGCAGCCCUAACUUAGUAAAACUGAUUGGUUAUUGCUUGGAAGAUGAACAACUGCUUCUUUUGUACGAGUUUAUGCAUAAGGAGUCUUGAGGAUCAUAUGUUCACAAAUGAUGUGCAGUUAAAGACAUCACGCAGAGAUUUGGUGCUUCGCUUUCAGCAAUCGUGGUGACUUUCUUUACAAGAUCUCAUGACUGCUCCAUGCGACGCUGGGAUCGUACUGAAGAACCGUUCUUCCUCGAGCUAAAGAGCUUGCAUUUCUUCUUACGACCAUGUUUAAGUCAUGUACACCUUCUAAGAUCUUGCUCUACUCGAAAACUAUCAGACUUUGGUUUAGUGAGAGACUGUCCAAAGGGAGUCAUGGGUACAUUUGGCUAUGCGGUUCCUCAGUAUGUGUCAACAGAUCGGGAUGCUCGCAAUUCUCGAGAAAGUGGGAUUGAUAAAUAAUGUUUGAGAAAACCUAAAAAGAGCUAAGUCGCUGCUUACAAAGUGAAGAUGCAAAUAUAUAUAUAGAAAAAGGAGAGUUUUUUUUUUCUUUUACUGGGAAGAUAAUUUUGUUUUGAAAAUAUUAUUAACAGUUUAUAUUAUUGCUAAGCAGAAACUAUUUAAAUUUUAGUGAACA